GGCAGCGGGGUAGUGCUUGCACUACUGCCGGCGACCGGCGCACGGGUGAGUAACACGUAUGGAACCUGCCCGCAGCAGGGGGAUAAGCGGAAGAAAUUCCGUCUAAUACCGCGUAACAACGUUGGGAGGCAUCUCCCGAUGUUUAAAGAUUUAUCGGCUGCGGAUGGCCAUGCGGCGCAUUAGCUAGUCGGCGGGGUAACGGCCCACCGAGGCGACGAUGCGUAGGGGUUCUGAGAGGAAGGUCCCCCACACUGGUACUGAGACACGGACCAGACUCCUACGGGAGGCAGCAGUGAGGAAUAUUGGUCAAUGGCCGAGAGGCUGAACCAGCCAAGUCGCGUGAGGGAAGACGGCCCUACGGGUUGUAAACCUCUUUUGUCGGGGAGCAAAGAGAGCCACGUGUGGCUCAUUGAGAGUACCCGAAGAAAAAGCAUCGGCUAACUCCGUGCCAGCAGCCGCGGUAAUACGGAGGAUGCGAGCGUUAUCCGGAUUUAUUGGGUUUAAAGGGUGCGCAGGCGGAGGUGCAAGUCAGCGGUCAAAUUGCGGGGCUCAACCCCGUACUGCCGUUGACACUGCAUCCCUUGAGUGCGCGAGAAGUAUGCGGAAUGCAUGGUGUAGCGGUGAAAUGCAU
rnacentral:rRNA from 1 species